UGAUGCUACAAACAACAUUCACUUAUACUACACACCGAAAUAAAUGUGGACAAAAUUACUCCGCUUAUUAUCUGAAGCAUUG
rfam:Prunus persica cultivar Lovell chromosome G1, whole genome shotgun sequence.